AGCUGGAAUUGCUAGUAAUGGCAGGUCAGCAUACUGCCGUGAAUACGUUCCCGGGCCUUGUACACACCGCCCGUCACACCAUGAGAGUUGGGAAUACCCGAAGCCUGUGAGCUAACUUAUAGAGGCGGCAGUCGAAGGUAGAAUCAAUGAUUGGGGUGAAGUCGUAACAAGGUAAC
rnacentral:rRNA from 1 species